GCUGGGCAUGGUGGCGCAUGCCUGUAAUCCCAGCUACUCAGGAGGCUGAGGCAGGAGAAUUGCCUGAACCCAGGAGGCAGAGGUUGCGGUGAGCCGAGAUCACACCAUUGCACUCCAGCCUGGGUAACGAGAGCGAAACUCCAAAAAAAAAAGAAACAGCAUAGUAACACAUUAGGCUUUUAGAUACUCUGUUUUUAAAAGUACAUAAAAGGUUGCCUUUUUUUUUUUUUUGGAGAUGGAGUCUUGCAUUGCUGCCCAGGUUGGAGUGCAGUGGUGCAAUCUUGGCUCACUGCAACCUCUGCCUCCCAGGUUCAAGCAAUUCUCUUACCUCAG
rnacentral:sRNA from 1 species